rnacentral:ncRNA from 1 species
UGACUGCGGGAGAGACGCCUUCGAGGCGCACCGAAGGAGCAAAGCUUUGUUCAAACUCUCAGGUAAACAAACUGCAGU